UUCGGGGUUUAGGGUCCUCGGCCUAGUGGAGCUCGAGGCGGGGGAGGUAGCGAUCCGGGAGCGACGCGGAGGACCGGGUGCGCCCGCCCCCGACCACAGCCGCGCUCCUCAUUGGCCGGCUGCCGCCGUCCCCGCCGUGGCCCCGACCGCCCGCCCACUGGCCGAGGCGCAGUCCCUCUGGCGGCCCUGGGAGGCCGACGGGGCCGCGGCGGGGACAGGGUGCCGCCUCGUGGACCUGAGGGGCUGCCCCCUGGGGCCCCCGCGUUCCGGGGUCCUGGGGUCUCGGCGGCGCAGCCUCCUUGCCUGUGUGGACUGGCAUUUGGGCCCCGCUCCGUGAUCUCGGCGCUGCCUGGUCUCCACCCAUCUUAGAGUUGAGACAACCGAAGUUUAGUAGCGGGGAAGUGACUUGCUCCGACCGCCGAAGCUGAGGCGCAAGCCCAAAUCCCCCUGCACGCGGCCCCUGUUAACACUCGCCUCUCUUUGUGCGGCGUUUUAAGUUUUCUGAGCCCUUUCAUAUACACGAUGCCUCAUUUAAUCUUUUACAGUCCUGUUGUCUGCUAGCUAUUCAUGUUACCCACCUUUUACUGAUGGGGAACUUGAGGCUGGAAGUGGUAGAGUGACUUGCCCGAGGCCACGGAGAACUGAGCGGCGGGCUGAGCGCGAUUUAAUUGCUGGCUGAGUUGGCCUCCUACAUGGGCUUGAAAAACUGGUGUGUUGGGCAGGAGAUUGGUUAUUUCCUUAGGGAGAAGAAAGUGCUUGAGCUGGCUGAGGAGCCAUGGAGGUGAUUUGCAGUCAUGUCUCCCAAACUUCCCCUAGACCCUUAAAUGUUGUUAGUCAUUUCAAGCCUUCGUGAGCUGAGUUCAUCUGUAUGAAGAAGUGAGAACUUUGCCCAAUAGUUUCCCAACACACAUUAAGUUUAAAUGUCUUUGUAAAUAGCCAGGAUGUAAAUAUGUUAGAUAUUGUUUUCUCAGACAUUUGUUCUCUCAGCAGAUGUUUAUUUUUAUUUUUAUGUUUUUUUUGAGACGGGGUGUUGCUCUGUCGCCCAGGCUGGAGUGCAGUGGUGCCAUCUCGGCUCACUGCAACCUCCGCCUCCCCGGUUCCAGCGAUUCUCCUGCCUCAGCCUCCCAAGUAGCAGGGACUACAGGUGUGCACCACCACGCCCGGCUAAUUUUUGUAUUUUUAGUAGAGAUGGAAGUUUCACUGUGUUGGUCAGGCUGGUUUCGAACUCCUGACCUCAGGUGAUCCUCCCGCCUCGGCCUCCUAAAGUGCUGGGAUUACAGGCGUGAGCCACCGGCCCGGCCAUUCCGCAGAUGUUUAUUAAUACCACCCGUAUGCCUGUGGUUAGGUUUUUCUCUUGAUGUCUGAAAUGUAUCCCUCACCUCCUUCCCCAUCCUGGACACUUGUAUCAACUACAACUGCCACCACCACCUCAUAAUUCGCAGCCAGCACUUACCUGGCUUGUGGUUCGUAACGGGCACACAUUAGUAUUUGUUUCCUCAACUACUGACUGUGAAAGCUCUCUCAGAUCUCCAUCUAGUGACUGAUGUGAAGCUGGUGCUGGCUCCUCUGGCCACUUCUAAGUCCAUCCACGUUUUGUAGGUUCCUUUGGAAACGACAGAAUGAUCCACCCCAGGUUCUUCUCUCUCUGAGGUCACUCCGCCAGUUUCUGACUGCAGGUGGACUGCACUGUAGUCUAUUUGAUCUCUAUGUUUUUGGUUUUAGUGUGUGCAGAGUUUUGUGUUGGGCAGUAGGUGGGGCUGCAGGAAUGGGGGGUGGUUAUGUGUGGAUCCACAGGAACAGGGGCCUUGCAGCUGGAUACACCUGGCACUUGCCACUGUUGGGUUCUGUUUCCCUGGCCAGGGGAGUUCUGAACUAGGCAGUUUCCUCACUUGGAAUGGUGAUUCCUGGUUGAGCGGGAUUAAAUGUGAGAAGGGUUUUUUUUGUUUGUUUUUUUGAGAGGGAGUCUCACUGUAUUGCUCAGGCUGGAGUGCAGUGGCACAGCCUUGGCACACUGCAACCUCUGCCUCUUGGGUUUAAGUGAUUCUCCUGUCUCAGCCUCCCAAGUAGCUGGGAUUACAGGUGCCCGACACCACGACUGUCUAAUUUUUGUAUUUUUAGUAGAGAUGGGGUUUUACCAUGUUGGCCAGGCUGGUCUCGAACUCCUCACCUCAGGCCGAACCCGCUCGGCCUCCCAAAGUCCUGGGAUUACAAGCAUGAGACACUGCGCCGGGCCAGAAGGUAUGUUUUAAAGUUUGUGCCAUGUGGCAAGUGUUCAGCAAAGGCUGGUAAUUAUCUUGGACCUUUCCUUAAAGGCAUAGAAGCACACAACGCCCCUGGAGCAUAGGUGAGCACUGGGACUCUAGACGCAGACCACCAAGCUUCCAAUCCCUGCUUCUCCCACUUUCCCUAGGACCGUCUGCAAGUUACUUAACCAUUCCUUGCCUUUCUUUCCUUAUGUAUAAAACCUGAGUAAUAUCUACUUUAUUAGGUUAUUGUUAGGACUGAGUGAAUUAAUAUACCUGAAGUGCAUUGAAAAGUUCCUGACAACGGGUACUUAAGUGCUUGAUAGACGUUAGCUUUCGUUAUUGUCAUUGAAGGCUUCUUAAAGUAAAGGAGUAACAUGAUUCAAUUUUUAGCUUGAAAAUAUUUCUUUGCCAUUGUAUGGGGAUUGGAUUGGGGCAAAGAGUGCAGGCAGAGAGACUAGCAUGGAAGAACCUGGAGUGCAUGCUGAGUUUGAGUUAAAUCUUCUGGAAACUCCGUUUUUAUCUCACCUGCACAGCCAACAAAGAAAAACUAGAUCCAGUGGUCCCUGUUAAGAUAAUGUGAAAGAUCUGAACAAAUUCAAUGAACAGAUGUCAUUUCCUGCAGAAGAGCAGCUGUGAUUAUAAAAAGCCUGAACACUGAAGCCCCCUCAAGCUGUUCACGAAAGAAGUUGAAAGCACUGGUGGAACCAGGGAACUGAGUGCAUCAGAUUGAGGGAAAUAGCUUACUCCCUCCCACCGUGAGGAGCUCCUACUACAUCCUCAACUACCGUUAACUCCCACCCCUAAAUGUGCCUUUUAGGCUGUUCAAAUAGAUAAAAAUGCCAGCACAAA